CACGUAGGUGGCGAGCGUUGACCGGAUUUAUUGGGCGUAAAGAGCUCGUAGGCGGCUCACUAAGUCGGGUGUGAAACCUCCAGGCUCAACCUGGAGACGCCACCCGAUACUGGUGUGGCUAGAGUCCGGUAGGGGAGCAUGGAAUUCCUGGUGUAGCGGUGAAAUGCGCAGAUAUCAGGAGGAACACCAGUGGCGAAGGCGGUGCUCUGGGCCGGAACUGACGCUGAGGAGCGAAAGCAUGGGGAGCAAACAGG
rnacentral:rRNA from 1 species